rnacentral:rRNA from 1 species
GGGUGAGUAACGCGUGAGCAACCUGCCUAUGACAGUGGGAUAGCCUCGGGAAACCGGGAUUAAUACCGCAUAAAAUCGUAGAAACACAUGUUUUAACGGUCAAAGAUUUAUCGGUCAUAGAUGGGCUCGCGUCUGAUUAGCUAGUUGGUGAGAUAACAGCCCACCAAGGCGACGAUCAGUAGCCGGUCUGAGAGGAUGAACGGCCACAUUGGAGCUGAGACACGGUCCAA